GGGAGGGUUGCCUCUCGGUGUUGCAGCUAACGCGUUAAGUUCUCCGCCUGGGGAGUACGCCGGCAACGGUAAAACUCAAAGGAAUUGACGGGGUCCCGCACAAGCGGUGGAGCAUGUGGUUUAAUUCGAUGCAACGCGAAGAACCCUACCUGCCCUUGACAUCCUCAGAACUUGUUAGAGAUAACUUGGUGCCUUCGGGAAUUGAGUGACAGGUGCUGCAUGGCUAUCGUCAGCUCGUGUCGUGAGAUGUUGGGUUAAGUCCCGCAACGAGCGCAACCCUUGUCCCUAGUUGCCAGCACUUCGGGUGGGAACUCUAGGGAGACUGCCGGUGACAAACCGGAGGAAGGUGGGGACGACGUCAAGUCAUCAUGGCCCUUAUGGGCAGGGCUACACACGUGCUACAAUGGCGAAUACAGAGGGCCGCCAACCAGCGAUGGUGAGCUAAUCCCUUAAAACUCGUCGUAGUCCGGAUCGGAGUCUGCAACUCGACUCCGUGAAGUCGGAAUCGCUAGUAAUCGCGAAUCAGAAUGUCGCGGUGAAUACGUUCCCGGGUCUUGUACACACCGCCCGUCACACCAUGGAAGUAGGUUGCACCAGGAGUAGGUAGCU
rnacentral:rRNA from 1 species